rnacentral:lncRNA from 1 species
GGGACUGGAUGAGGGAACAGGCCAGCCAUGGUCCCCACCGCAGCAGGGACAGGCCUCGCACGUUCAGCUAGAGGCACCCCCUGGGGUGGGCUAUCAGGUCUGCCCUGGCACAGACCUACUGCCGGUGUGGGGUCCAUGGCAGUCACUGGGCCAGACUUGGUGGGCUGCUGUGGGGCAGGCCUUGGGGGGCUCCCCCAAGAGAACCCAGCCCAGGGGAAGCCUGGGACUGGUGCUGUGCUCUCUGUGGGAGCCACUGAUCUUCAGGAUGCAGUCCUGCCCCUAUAGGGGCCCGCUGCCCCAAGGCUCUGUGGGAUCUGGCCCUGCAGACUCUCACCUGCCUGCCCCGCUCCAACCUGGGGGUCCUUGCUCCAGCCGUCCAGCCUGCACACUCUUCCCCAGGCCCCCAGGGCCUGCUCCACAGGACCAUCUGCAUAGCCACAUUGGUGCUGGGAUGCCUGCUUUUCCUUUCACGGGCUGGGUCAGGAUUAAGGGCUGGAAGAUGCCCUUUCCUGGGAGAUGAAACCAGGAUGCAAGAGGAAGCCUUUAAUAAGCAGCUAUCGGCGAGGCCCAGUGGGUUCUGCUGCCCAUGCUUCUGUGACCCCGCCCCCACGGCUCACCCCUCCUCCUGCCAGCCAGGCCAGAACCCUGGGUGCCCGCAUCCCCUGGUGCCGUCCUCACUGCCCCCAAAUCCUUUUCCAACCCCUUCCCCUAACCCCACUGCUGCCCCCAGGGGCACUCAGCAAAGCCUCCAAACCUCCCUUGGCUUGUGGGGCCCAGGAAGCCCUGGCAGUCCUGGCGCUGUCCCCUACCCGCUGCCUGAAGUUCUUCCAGGGCCUCCAGUGUGCCCGGCCCUGGCUCUGGGCUCUGCUUUUGAAAAGUCUUCAUUUUCCUUUACAUCCCCACGUGCAGAGAAAUGCCGGCUGCGCCCGAGGAGCAGAGUUGGAGGGGCCCCUGGGAGAAUCUGAACAUCCCAGUUUCCUGAUCUCUUUCUGGGUCUCACUUUCAUCUCUGGCCAUCAGCAAGGGCGUGCCCCUCCACCCGAAGGCCCUGCCUCUGUGCCAGGCUCCAUGUAAAGGGUACACCCAGCGGGGCCCUGACUCCCCCAACACGGGUGAUCCUGGUGGCACACGCACAGAGCUCAUGCACACCCAGACACGCCUGAGGGCGCCGGUUCCUGCUGACCCCCCGUGCCCCACAAGACAGGUGCCCACAGAGCUUUGCAGCAUGUUCCCCGACUCAGGAGGCAAAACCGUCCCCCUCGGCUCUGCUCCUGCCGCCCCCGGGGCCCACACCACCUGCAGAGUGCACCCACAGGUGUCAGCGUGUUGAGCCAGGUGCUGCUCUAGGUACUGGGAAUACAAGCAGGAACGGAACAAGUUUUACGUCUUCAGGGUCUCAGGUGGCGGGGCCCCUGGCAUCGUGCUAAGUCCUCUGAGGACGAUGAGGCAAGGUGGGGCAGAGCGCAGGCACUGUGGUUGGAGACUGACUGCAGCUGACAUCUGGCACGUGGUGCCCGCUGGGGUCCACGUGGCCCACUGGGCUCUCUGGCUUCUCUGAAGCCAGGCGUGGC